CGGCCGUCAUAAUAGCAGUAACCAUGCACUCGAGCGGAUGAAGGGAGCUUGCUCCUGGAUUCAGCGGCGGACGGGUGAGUAAUGCCUAGGAAUCUGCCUGGUAGUGGGGGAUAACGUCCGGAAACGGGCGCUAAUACCGCAUACGUCCUGAGGGAGAAAGUGGGGGAUCUUCGGACCUCACGCUAUCAGAUGAGCCUAGGUCGGAUUAGCUAGUUGGUGGGGUAAAGGCCUACCAAGGCGACAAUCCGUAACUGGUCUGAGAGGAUGAUCAGUCACACUGGAACUGAAACACGGUCCAAACUCCUACGGGAGGCAGCAGUGGGGAAUAUUGGACAAUGGGCGAAAGCCUGAUCCAGCCAUGCCGCGUGUGUGAAGAAGGUCUUCGGAUUGUAAAGCACUUUAAGUUGGGAGGAAGGGCAGUAAGUUAAUACCUUGCUGUUUUGACGUUACCAACAGAAUAAGCACCGGCUAACUUCGUGCCAGCAGCCGCGGUAAUACGAAGGGUGCAAGCGUUAAUCGGAAUUACUGGGCGUAAAGCGCGCGUAGGUGGUUCAGCAAGUUGGAUGUGAAAUCCCCGGGCUCAACCUGGGAACUGCAUCCAAAACUACUGAGCUAGAGUACGGUAGAGGGUGGUGGAAUUUCCUGUGUAGCGGUGAAAUGCGUAGAUAUAGGAAGGAACACCAGUGGCGAAGGCGACCACCUGGACUGAUACUGACACUGAGGUGCGAAAGCGUGGGGAGCAAACAGGAUUAGAUACCCUGGUAGUCCACGCCGUAAACGAUGUCGACUAGCCGUUGGGAUCCUUGAGAUCUUAGUGGCCGCAGCUAACGCGAUAAGUCGACCGCCUGGGGAGUACGGCCGCAAGGUUAAAACUCAAAUGAAUUGACGGGGCCCGCACAGCGGUGCAGCAUGUGUUUAAUUCGAAGCACGCGAAGAUCUUACGUGGUCUUGACAUGCUGAGACUUCAGAGAUGGAUUGUUGCUUUCGGACUCAGACCAGUGCUGCAUGCUGUCGUCAGCUCGUGUCGUGAGAUGUGGAUAGUUCCAGUACCGAGCGCACUCUUGUCAUAGUACAGCACCUCGGUGGCACUCUAAGAACUGCUGUUACCACGGAGAGUGGAUGACUCAGUCACUGCUUACGGCAGGCUACACGGUCUACAAUGUCGGUAC
rnacentral:rRNA from 1 species